AUUGAACGCUGGCGGCAUGCCUUACACAUGCAAGUCGAACGGUAACAGGUCUUCGGAUGCUGACGAGUGGCGAACGGGUGAGUAAUACAUCGGAAGGUGCCCGAUCGUGGGGGAUAACGCAUCGAAAGGUGUGCUAAUACCGCAUACGUACUGAGGUAGAAAGUGGGGGACCUUCGGGCCUCACGCUAUUCGAGCGGCCGACGUCUGAUUAGCUAGUUGGUGAGGUAAAGGCUCACCAAGGCGACGAUCAGUAGCGGGUCUGAGAGGAUGAUCCGCCACACUGGGACUGAGACACGGCCCAGACUCCUACGGGAGGCAGCAGUGGGGAAUAUUGGACAAUGGGCGAAAGCCCGAUCCAGCCAUGCCGCGUGUGUGAAGAAGGUCUUCGGAUUGUAAAGCACUUUAAGUUGGGAGGAAGGGUACUUACCUAAUACGUGAGUAUUUUGACGUUACCGACAGAAUAAGCACCGGCUAACUCUGUGCCAGCAGCCGCCGCAGUAA
rnacentral:rRNA from 1 species